UCUCCUGGAAAACGGGUGGUAAUGCCGGAUGCUCCAGUUGGAUGCAUGGUCUUCUGGGAAAGAUUCAUCGGUAUGGGAUGGGGUCGCGUCCUAUCAGCUUGAUGGCGGGGUAACGGCCCACCAUGGCUUCGACGGGUAGCCGGCCUGAGAGGGCGACCGGCCACAUUGGGACUGAGAUACGGCCCAGACUCCUACGGGAGGCAGCAGUGGGGAAUAUUGCACAAUGGGCGCAAGCCUGAUGCAGCGACGCCGCGUGCGGGAUGACGGCCUUCGGGUUGUAAACCGCUUUUGACUGGGAGCAAGCCCUUCGGGGUGAGUGUACCUUUCGAAUAAGCACCGGCUAACUACGUGCCAGCAGCCGCGGUAAUACGUAGGGUGCAAGCGUUAUCCGGAAUUAUUGGGCGUAAAGGGCUCGUAGGCGGUUCGUCGCGUCCGGUGUGAAAGUCCAUCGCUUAACGGUGGAUCCGCGCCGGGUACGGGCGGGCUUGAGUGCGGUAGGGGAGACUGGAAUUCCCGGUGUAACGGUGGAAUGUGUAGAUAUC
rnacentral:rRNA from 1 species